GAGAUUUUUAAGUAACAUUAGCUUAUAGUCAAGAGUAGCGGUUCUCAACAUGGGCGGUACCGCCCCCCGGGGGGCGUUCAGAGGACGGCAGGGGGGGCUGGCGGACAUUUUUACAAAAGGGGGGCGCUGG